GGGUGGAUCCCUCAUAAAUAGAUUAAUGCCCUCCCCGGAGUGGGGGCAUGAAUGAAUUCUCUAUUAGUUCCCAUGAAAACCGUUAUUAAAGAAAGCCUGGCACCUCUCCCUGUAUCUCUUAUCUCUCUUGCUUCUUUUGUCCCUGUGUGAUCUCUGGACAGAUGGCUUUCCUUCACCUUUUGCCAUGAGUGGAAGCUGCCUGAGAUCGUCACCAGAUUCAGAUGCCCAAUUGUGAAUGUUCCAGCCAUCAAAAUGGUUCCAUGACGUUUGCUCCAGAUAACGUGAAGCAGCCAUCUGCCUGAAGGAGGAGGAGAAUUUAUUAUAAAGAAUGAUGAAGAGAAAGAAGCAGUAAAUAUAUAACAUCUGACAUACACAAACAGGAUUAAAGCAAAAUAAAAGCAUUAUAAGCCAGACUAUGA